rnacentral:rRNA from 1 species
CCUACGGGAGGCAGCAGUGGGGAAUUUUCCGCAAUGGGCGCAAGCCUGACGGAGCAAUACCGCGUGAGGGAAGAAGGCUUUUGGGCUGUAAACCUCUUUUCUCAAGGAAGAAGAACUGACGGUACUUGAGGAAUCAGCAUCGGCUAACUCCGUGCCAGCAGCCGCGGUAAUACGGAGGAUGCAAGCGUUAUCCGGAAUUAUUGGGCGUAAAGCGUCCGCAGGUGGCACAUCAAGUCCGCUGUUAAAGACCAGGGCUUAACCCCGGGAAGGCAGUGGAAACUGAUGAGCUAGAGUACGGUAGGGGUAGAGGGAAUUCCCAGUGUAGCGGUGAAAUGCGUAGAGAUUGGGAAGAACACCAGUGGCGAAGGCGCUCUACUGGACCUGUACUGACACUCAGGGACGAAAGCUAGGGUAGCGAAAGGGAUUAGAUACCCCUGUAGUCCUAGCCGUAAACGAUGGAUACUAGGCGUUGCUUGUAUCGACCCGAGCAGUGCCGUAGCUAACGCGUUAAGUAUCCCGCCUGGGGAGUACGCACGCAAGUGUGAAACUCAAAGGAAUUGACGG